UACGGAGGGGGCUAGCGUUGUUCGGAAUUACUGGGCGUAAAGCGCACGUAGGCGGACUGUUAAGUCGGGGGUGAAAUCCUGGGGCUCAACCUCAGAAUUGCCUCCGAUACUGGCAGUCUCGAGUGCGGGAGAGGUGAGUGGAAUUCCCAGUGUAGAGGUGAAAUUCGUAGAUAUCAGGAGGAACACCGGUGGCGAAGGCGGGUCUCUGGGCAGUAACUGACGCUGAGGAACGAAAGCGUGGGUAGCAAACAGG
rnacentral:rRNA from 1 species